rnacentral:rRNA from 1 species
UGGGGAAUAUUGCACAAUGGGCGCAAGCCUGAUGCAGCCAUGCCGCGUGUAUGAAGAAGGCCUUCGGGUUGUAAAGUACUUUCAGUCGGGAGGAAGGCGUUAAGGUUAAUAACCUUGGCGAUUGACGUUACCCGCAGAAGAAGCACCGGCUAACUCCGUGCCAGCAGCCGCGGUAAUACGGAGGGUGCAAGCGUUAAUCGGAAUUACUGGGCGUAAAGCGCACGCAGGCGGUCUGUCAAGUCGGAUGUGAAAUCCCCGGGCUCAACCUGGGAACUGCAUGCGAAACUGGCAGGCUAGAGGCUUGUAGAGGGGGGUAGAAUUCCAGGUGUAGCGGUGAAAUGCGUAGAGAUCUGGAGGAAUACCGGUGGCGAAGGCGGCCCCCUGGACAAAGACUGACGCUCAGGUGCGAAAGCGUGGGGAGCAAACAGG